rnacentral:rRNA from 1 species
UACGUAGGGUGCGAGCGUUGUCCGGAAUUAUUGGGCGUAAAGAGCUUGUAGGCGGUUUGUCGCGUCUGCCGUGAAAAUUCGAGGCUCAACCUCGAACUUGCGGUGGGUACGGGCAGACUAGAGUGUGGUAGGGGAGACUGGAAUUCCUGGUGUAGCGGUGGAAUGCGCAGAUAUCAGGAGGAACACCGGUGGCGAAGGCGGGUCUCUGGGCAGUAACUGACGCUGAGGAGCGAAAGCGUGGGGAGCGAACAGG